UUGCUCAUUUUCUAAGACAUUCUUUUUUUUUUUUUUAACUCCCUAAGGCGUUCUUAUACAGAAAGUAGUGUUUCUGUUACUUAUCUUCGGAAUGACAGUUGUAACAUAAAAGCAACACACUAAGAUCUAAAAUUAAUGAAAUCUUAGCAUAUAUUCCAGUGCAUAUAUAUUCUCCCACGAUUCACCCCUGUAUUUCUGAAGUGUGAUAUCUCUGGCAUUUAACUAUUUUGAAUCUUGAGUUAUUACACUAAAAUAGGUAAAUCAUUUAUUUGAAUUUAUAAUCUAUUUACAAGGUUCAAUAUUCAAACAGUAUAAUGUGAGAAGCUUCCCACUCUGCCCUCCAUUUGCCUCUUACUUCCUACCGCCAAAUAGGAAACUACAGCAAGUUUUUUGUUUAUCCCUGCUAGAACAGAUACCCAACAAAUGCAUGUUUUUUUUGUUGUUGUU